GCCGACGUAGCUCAGUUGGUAGAGCAACCCCAUGGUAAGGGGUAGGUCGGCGGUUCAAAUCCGCCCGUCGGCU
rnacentral:tRNA from 1 species